rnacentral:tRNA from 1 species
AAGAACUUAAGUUAAAAGAAACUAAUGGUCUUCAAAACCAUAAAUGGAAUUUCCAGUUCUUG